rnacentral:tRNA from 1 species
CAGAGAAUAGUUUAUAAUAAAAUUUUAAUUUUGGAGAUUAAAGAUAGAAAAUAAUUUCUUUCUCUGA